CCCUAACUAUUCUAAACUACCCGCCGCCCAACCUUUCCCUUCCUUUAGAGAACUUCAGUAACCCUACCUCAGCCUCCUUCGGUCCUCCCUCCCCCCUACAACUCCGGCGCCGCGCCGGGCGGGGGCCACCACUCUUCCUCCACCGGCGACUAGCAGCAGGCCUGUGCAGGAGCUUGCGUCGAUGCUGUGACGUUGACGCUGACGCAACAGCUGUAGCAGACCGGUGCCACCUCCCAGGCUUCUCCUCCGCUGCCAGUAGACCGACGACGCCGCCCUUCUCCCCCGCAUCGGCGCGACGCCGCCGCCGGCAGAAGCGUCCACUCAGACCACCCCCUUUGACAGUUUGAUGACUUUCAAACUCUUUCCCUCCUCCACAACCCGCCGCUGCCCAGAUCCCCCUCAGCUGCCACCAGAAAAAGCAUCCUCCACCGGCGUUUAAACAUCAUUCAUCAUAAUGUAAUUUCAAUUGUGCAAAAAAUUGUGUGGUAAUUUUAGUUAUGCAAGUUGCCUAAUUUUAGAGAGAGAAACAAAUUGGGUAAACAAAUUAAUAAUGAUUUGCAGUCAAAUAUGA
rnacentral:lncRNA from 1 species